rnacentral:rRNA from 1 species
AGAGUUUGAUCCUGGCUCAGGUUGAACGCUGGCGGCAGGCCUAACACAUGCAAGUCGAGCGGCAGCACGGGUACUUGUACCUGGUGGCGAGCGGCGGACGGGUGAGUAAUGCCUAGGAAUCUGCCUGGUAGUGGGGGAUAACGCUCGGAAACGGACGCUAAUACCGCAUACGUCCUACGGGAGAAAGCAGGGGACCUUCGGGCCUUGCGCUAUCAGAUGAGCCUAGGUCGGAUUAGCUAGUUGGUGGGGUAAUGGCUCACCAAGGCGACGAUCCGUAACUGGUCUGAGAGGAUGAUCAGUCACACUGGAACUGAGACACGGUCCAGACUCCUACGGGAGGCAGCAGUGGGGAAUAUUGGACAAUGGGCGAAAGCCUGAUCCAGCCAUGCCGCGUGUGUGAAGAAGGUCUUCGGAUUGUAAAGCACUUUAAGUUGGGAGGAAGG